UGAGAAUUCGACGCACGUUCUUAACUGAAAAAUAAAAUAACAUAACCUACCACUUUUCCUUCUUCUUCUCCUCCCAGCUCUCGUUACUAUCGUCCAACCACCAUAAAAAACCAAAAAAUUGUGUCUUUCUCUCCUUUCCCAUGGGAAGAAAAUAACCAAUUUUAAACUUCAAUUCUUCAUCUCCUACUCGAUUGUUCCAACCCUACGAGAGAAUCAUUCCUACCUUCUAUCAAUCAUUCGCUUUAAAAAUCCUAAAUCGUGUUAACCAACUGAACCCUAAAUACCAUCAAAAUUAAAUCAAAACCGAACCAAUUGUUUUGAGUUUUCUCCUGAUUCUUUCUUCUUGUUCUUCUUCUUCAGCGAAACCUGGAUGAUGAUUAGUCAUGUUACAAACCCUAGAUACUAAAAUUUCAUAGGGAAGGGAUAUCUCCUAAUUUGUUUCCUUCUCUUAUAAAUCUAAAAUCCUUUAAUUUAUGUCUGAGUCCGGCUAUUUUGUUUCUUGUUCAUUAUGAUUUUGUAAUUCAAUUUUGAAAUCUAACCUGUCUUAGUUUGAUUUUUCCUCAUUUAUGGACAUGGAUUUCGUAAUUGCAUGAAUUGAUGAUUAUAGAUGGCAGAAGAGGAAAAGGAAAAAUAUGAGAGAAUAAGAUCGAUAGAAGUGGUGGUGGCGGUUUUUAAACUUCAUCAGAAAAAGAUGAACAUCCUAAAGAUCGGUAGGAUGGAGUUAUCUAGAAGGACUAUUGGUAUUGGUAUUGGUAUUGGUAUUGGUUUUAGUUUAUGUUAUUAUACAUCUGCCUUAUGUAUUCAUGGAUUAUUGACUUACUGUUAUGGUUUAUGUAAUACCAAUGAUCUUGUUUGUUGUGUUAUUUUGAUUUUGUUUCAUAUUGAUAGAAUAUAGACACAGCUAUACUGUGUAACCAAAUUGGAAUCUCUUGAGGUUAUAUAUAAAAUGUUUUUGUUCUGUGAAGUUGAUGAAACUGCAGUGUCGCAUCAUAUUCAGAUUAAAGCUUUAUCUUUGAAGUAACUUCGUGCGAACUAUAAGAAUAUUCCGGGCUUCUGGAAAUACAGUAUUUACUCGUAAGUUUCUUAGGUAGAUGUAGCUUUUAUACAAGGUUUAAAUUUUGGGUAUAUAUAUUUUAGAGCUCUUCUUAUCUUUUUUUGAUCAGCUUUAGAGCUCUUCUUAUCAAGAGGAUUAUAUCUUUCCAUCUUCUAUGAUUGAUCUUAAUUUAUGUAUUCCUUUAAUGACCUCGUAUUAUUUAUGGAUAAACCCAAGACUUUUGAUUGAUGAAGUGAUCCAGUCAGGUGUAGUUCCUCGUUUGUUUAGUUUCUUCAGAGGGAGGACUUUCCACAACUUCAAGUGGAUACUUUCUCUGAAAUUGAGUUAGGUUUUCCCCUUCUUUAUAUUGGAAUACAAUUAAUUAAGUAAAUAACGAUUUAGUGAAACAUUUUAUCUUUCUCCUUCUUUUGUAUGCACUGAUUUAUCAUGAUUUUUAUUUUUGAACAGUUUGAGGUGGCUCUGGCUCUAAUGAACAUUGCUUCUGGAACCUCAGAGAAUACCGAAGUGGUCAUUGAGCAGGGAGCUAUCCCAAUCUUUGUGGCGCUUCUCAGUUCCCCCAGUGAUGAUGUUCGAGACCAGGUAACUUGAUAAUAAAGACAUAAUGAGUGGAGUUUCUUUAAUAUUAUUUCUUAUUUGUAUAACUUGGCUUGAUUUUUCUAAUUUAAAGGAUGAGAUGAGGUGAAGCUACUUUCCAUGUGUAAGCAAAUGGGGCUUAAGACUAACAAUUUCGUGUUUCUUUUUUAAAAAAAGAAGUCUAGGAUGUAUGGGCACUUGGAAAUGUUGCCGGCGAUUCACCUAAAUGCUGAGAUCUUGUUCUUGGCCACGGGGCCUUGAUUCCUUUGUUAAAUCAAUUGAAUGAGCAUGCCAAACUUUCUAUGCUGAUAAAUUCUACCUGUAUUUUAUCUAAUUUUUAUCGGGGCAAGCCACAGUCGCCAGUUACAACUACUGUUAGGGUGGUUUACGGUGUCCUGCUUGGCAUCCCUAAUAGAAACUAAAUUUUCUUUGUUGGUCAAUUCCUUGUACAUACAAAACCUGCACUCCCUGCUCUUAAGCGUCUUAUUAACUCCACUGAUGAAGAAGUACUUACAGACUCGUGCUGGGCCCUUUCUUAUCUGACGAUACAAAUGAAAACCAAGUUGUUAUUGAGGUUGGUGCAUGUCGCCGACUUGUUGAGUUACUGCUGUAAGUAUCACUUUAUUUUAUUAUGUUUCUAGACUCUGCUAGAUGUAUAGUAUGUAAUUUGAGAGAAAUUUAUUUUGGAGUCACCCAUCUCCUACUGUACUCAUUCAAUAUUGUUACUGGAGAUGAUCGUCGGCCCCAGGUACCAAUGACUUAGUUUAUCUUGUAUCCUUAUGAAAUGAGAUGAACUGUUGUAUUUAAAAUUGUUUUCAUUUUUGGUAUGUUGGCUUAUAUUUUGUUUUUCCCUUCUAUCUAGUGUAUCAUUGAACUUUAAGCACUUCCCUGCCUCAUGAACCUGUUGACACAACCAAUAAAAAAGUAUAAAGAAAGAAGCUUGCUGGACUAUAACUUAGGAUGUUUGUGUUGUAUAAACAGCCUACAAAACUACUACAAGAUUGAAUCCUCAACCACUGCACUUGACAAGAACCUGGGAUUACCCACCUCUAUCUCGUCGGUUGGAAAGAGCAUCCAGGACAUAGCCUUAAAAUAUAUGGGGUAAACAUGUACACACCGUAAUCAAUUAUAUCACCCUCCUGAAUAAAGAAACUAAAAUACGUUAUGUGGAGAACGAUGAAAACAUAAUAAACCAGUUGAAGCUCUGAAACAAUGUAACGCUUUAUUAUGUUUGAAAAAGUUAGCUAAUAUGUUUUGUCGUUGUUUCCAGAAGUAGUGUUUGAGAUAGUCCAUCUUCUCAAAUUUAUAAACAUCUAGUGCUUGGUAGAAAAAGGGGAGUUUCUCUUAUUUUUACUUAAAAAUGUCGACGUGUAUCCAUCUUCUCUUCAGUCUGCAACAAAUUCAUUCCCUACUGAUAUUAUAAGACUGGAUGAAGAUAUCAUGUCACCUCUUGCUGGGAGGAGAAGUAACUUCAUGCUUAUGAGAGGUUAUAUUUCUGGAAACACAUCUAAACUCCUGGAUAGACCAAUAUGCAAGUGAAGGAAUGUUAUGUUAUCCAUCUGUUUGUCAUUUUAAUUUUAUUUUUAACCUUCAACUAUGUCAUUUGUUGGAAACUCAGCAGUAGACUUGAAUUUCUGUGGUGUUAAGAUUUUCUGUGUUGCUUGAAUGUAAUAAAUUUAUACCUUGUAAUUCUUUUUUGAAUGAAUAAAUGAUGUUGUUGGAAA